GAUGAACGCUGGCGGCGUGCCUAAUACAUGCAAGUCGAGCGAACGGACGAGAAGCUUGCUUCACUGAUGUUAGCGGCGGACGGGUGAGUAACACGUGGAUAACCUACCUAUAAGACUGGGAUAACUUCGGGAAACCGGAGCUAAUACCGGAUAAUAUUUUGAACCGCAUGGUUCAAAAGUGAAAGACGGUCUUGCUGUCACUUAUAGAUGGAUCCGCGCUGCAUUAGCUAGUUGGUAAGGUAACGGCUUACCAAGGCAACGAUGCAUAGCCGACCUGAGAGGGUGAUCGGCCACACUGGAACUGAGACACGGUCCAGACUCCUACGGGAGGCAGCAGUAGAGAAUCUUCCGCAAUGGGCGAAAGCCUGACGGAGCAACGCCGCGUGAGUGAUGAAGGUCUUCGGAUCGUAAAACUCUGUUAUUAGGGAAGAACAUAUGUGUAAGUAACUGUGCACAUCUUGACGGUACCUAAUCAGAAAGCCACGGCUAACUACGUG
rnacentral:rRNA from 1 species